rnacentral:rRNA from 1 species
UAAGGGCGCACGGUGGAUGCCUUGGCACUAGAAGCCGAUGAAGGACGUUACUAACGACGAUAUGCUUUGGGGAGCUGUAAGUAAGCUUUGAUCCAGAGAUUUCCGAAUGGGGAAACCCAGCAUGAGUUAUGUCAUGUUAUCGAUAUGUGAAUACAUAGCAUAUCAGAAGGCACACCCGGAGAACUGAAACAUCUUAGUACCCGGAGGAAGAGAAAGAAAAUUCGAUUCCCUUAGUAGCGGCGAGCGAAACGGGAAGAGCCCAAACCAACAAGCUUGCUUGUUGGGGUUGUAGGACACUCUAUACGGAGUUACAAAGGACGACAUUAGACGAAUCAUCUGGAAAGAUGAAUCAAAGAAGGUAAUAAUCCUGUAGUCGAAAAUGUUGUCUCUCUUGAGUGGAUCCUGAGUACGACGGAGCACGUGAAAUUCCGUCGGAAUCUGGGAGGACCAUCUCCUAAGGCUAAAUACUCUCUAGUGACCGAUAGUGAACCAGUACCGUGAGGGAAAGGUGA